rnacentral:rRNA from 1 species
CCUACGGGGCGCAGCAGUGAGGAAUAUUGGUCAAUGGGCGUAAGCCUGAACCAGCCAAGUCGCGUGAGGGACGACGGCCCUACGGGUUGUAAACCUCUUUUGCCGGGGGACAAACGGCGGCACGCGUGCCGUCCUGAGGGUACCCGGAGAAAAAGCAUCGGCUAACUCCGUGCCAGCAGCCGCGGUAAUACGGAGGAUGCGAGCGUUAUCCGGAUUUAUUGGGUUUAAAGGGUGCGCAGGCGGAGGUGCAAGUCAGCGGUCAAAUUGCGGGGCUCAACCCCGUACUGCCGUUGAAACUGCAUCCC